rnacentral:rRNA from 1 species
GAUGAACGCUGGCGGCGUGCCUAAUACAUGCAAGUCGAGCGAACCAAUGAGAAGCUUGCUCCUUGGUGGUUAGCGGCGGACGGGUGAGUAACACGUGGGUAACCUACCUGUAAGACUGGGAUAACUCCGGGAAACCGGAGCUAAUACCGGAUAGAAUAUUUAACCGCAUGGUGAAAUAGGGAAAGAGGGUUUUUGCCAUAAUUUUAAGAUGAGCCGGGCGGGAUUAGGUAGUUGGUAAGGUAAAGGCUUACCAAGGCAACGAUUCGUAGCCGACCUGAGAGGGUGAUCGGCCACACUGGAACUGAGACACGGCCCAGACUCCUACGGGAGGCAGCAGUAGGGAAUCUUCCGCAAUGGACGAAAGUCUGACGGAGCAACGCCGCGUGAGCGAAGAAGGUCUUCGGAUCGUAAAGCUCUGUUGUUAGGGAAGAACAAGUAUCGGAGGAACUGCCGGUACCUUGACGGUACCUGACGUGAAAGCCACGGCUAACUACGUG